UACUCUGGUUUCUCUUCAGAUCGUAUAAAUCUUUCGCCUUUUAUUAAAGAUUUCCGUGGAAAGAAACAAAAAGAAAAAAAAAUAAUUAGGUUUAUAUGCUAUGGGAGUACAA
ensembl:snRNA U5 U5 spliceosomal RNA